GAUGAACACUGGCGGCGUGCUUAACACAUGCAAGUCGAACGAGAAGUGAAGACGGAAACCUUCGGGCGGAAGGCUUUAUUUCGAGUGGCGGACGGGUGAGUAACGCGUGGGUAACCUGCCUCAUACAGGGGGAUAACAGUUGGAAACGACUGUUAAUACCGCAUAAGACCACAGCACCGCAUGGUGCGGGGGUAAAAACUCCGGUGGUAUGAGAUGGACCCGCGUUCGAUUAGCCAGUUGGCGGGGUAACGGCCCACCAAAGCGACGAUCGAUAGCCGAUCUGAGAGGAUGACCGGCCACAUUGGGACUGAGACACGGCCCAAACUCCUACGGGAGGCAGCAGUGGGGAAUAUUGCACAAUGGGGGAAACCCUGAUGCAGCGACGCCGCGUGAGUGAAGAAGUAUUUCGGUAUGUAAAGCUUUAUCAGCAGGGAAGAAAAUGACGGUACCUGAGUAAGAAGCCCCGGCUAACUACGUG
rnacentral:rRNA from 1 species